rnacentral:misc_RNA from 1 species
UUGUAGAUCAUACUGGCAGUUAAUUUACUGGUGCUUGCUAUUACUUAAAGCACAAUAUUAAAUUGAAGAGAUUUUUUGUUAAGAAUUGAAUAAGACUUAGAAUCUUAAAACAGAAAUUGUUCAUCCAAUUACAUUGUGUAACUUAUUUUUUUGACCAAAUAGGUCAUUUUAUACCAAAUAAUACUUUACAUGUAUUUAACGUUUUUAAUAUAAUUUUAUCAGCACAUAAAUUGUUUCUUUGUACAUGUAUUAUAAGAUCUGAAUAAUAAAUCAAAUACAAGUACGAUACUGUAACAUGUUAUUUUAUUUUGAGUUUCUGACUGAAUAAAAUGAAGCAUG